rnacentral:rRNA from 1 species
CUGGCUCAGGACGAACGCUGGCGGCGUGCUUAACACAUGCAAGUCGAACGGGAAGAAAAGAAAGAGCUUGCUCUUUUUUGGAUUCCAGUGGCAAACGGGUGAGUAACACGUAAACAACCUGCCUUCAGGAUGGGGACAACAGACGGAAACGACUGCUAAUACCG